AUAUAUAUAUAUAUAUAUAUAUAUAUAUAUAUAUAUAUAUAUAUAUAGAGUCCGGCUGCUAUGCUAUCGGUAGCACGGAGCGCUUCGUGCUACCAAGUUGUUUUCGAUUAUGCGGCUUCCAAAUCGACGAUCGGCUCCGUUAGACUUGAUCUACACUAUUGAAAGUGUUUGGAAACUAAAUUUCAAAUUUUUUCGACAUCAUUUGACUAGUGAUCGAAAGAUCUCAAAAUUGACAAUUUUAAUGGCCGAUGUGGUGUGUUUGUGAGUUUAACGGUGUAAAACAAUUCAAAUGCGAUGAAAAUUUUAUAGAAAAUUCUUUUUACUAUUUAGAGUAAGAUCAGUAUAUCUGAUCUUGAAUUUAAAUCUUUUGUCAUCAUUUUUUAUGAGAUUUUUAUUUUCAGCCGUUCAAUUUUAGACUACUUGUUUGAUAGGUAAAUGAUAUCGAAAAAUUAUGAAAUUUAGUUUCUAAAUACUUUCAAAAGUGUAGAUCAACUCUAACAGAGCCGAUCGUCGAUUUGGAAGCCGCAUCAUCGAAAACAACUCGGUAGCACGGAGCGCUCCGUGCUACCGAUAGUAUAGUAGCCUAGCUAUAUAUAUAUAUAUAUAUAUAAUUGAGCUAGAAUACUUUUAGAAGCACCAAUCCAUUGGUGGUUCUAAGUUUCUAGCCCUUAGAUCUACUCAUUAAUUAUUAAUACUCCUUGAAUCAAACACUAUUACACCUACCACAAUCAUCUCAACCCUACAUCUCUCCAUCCAAUGGUUGAAAACUCAAAUGCACCAUACCCUUGGUGUUUUUGAGAGUAUUCUAGCUCAACUAUAUAUAUAUAUGUAAUUAGGCUGGAAUACUAUUAAUAGUAAAACUCUCUUUUUGCUAUCAAGUUUUUAACCCUCGGAUGAAAAAUUAUAGGGUCAGGAUGAUAUUAGUCAGUUAGAGUUGAGUGGUCCCCCUAGAGUUGAGUGGUCCCCACUGGGUUAUAAUAUUUAAUCCAAUGGUUAGAAAUAAUAAAAAAAGUUGAUCCAAAGGCUAAAAAAGUGGUGGCAACAAUGAGAUUUUGCUACUAAUAGUAGCCCAGUCCAACUCUCUCUCUCUCUCUCUCUCUCUCUCUCUCUCUCUCUCUCUCUCUCUCUCUCUCUCUCUCUCUCUCUCUAUAUAUAUAUAUAUAUAUAUAUAUAGAUAUAUAUAUAUAUGAGUGAUGCUACUAUGCUUCUGGAAGCUUCCAGGUCGUUUUCCAUGUUGCGACUUUCAAAUCGUCGAUCGGCUCCGUUAAACUUGAUCUAGAGUAUUUGAAGUACCUAGACAAUAAAUUAUGCAAUUUUUUGAUAUUAUUUGCCUAGUGAUCGAAGGGGCUCAAAAUCAAUGGCUGAAAAUAAAAAUCUUACAAAAACGUGAUAAUAUGACAUUAAAAUUUUAGAUCAAAGAUGUUGAUCUUGUUUUAUAUAGUAUAAAAAAUUUUCUAUCAAAAUUUCACGUGAUUUGGAUAUUUCUACACCGUUAAAUUUGCAAACGUCACACUACAGCCAUUAAAAUUAUUGAUUUUGAGUCCCUACGAUUACUAGGCAAAUGAUAUCAAAAAAUCAUAAAAUUUAUUUUCUAGUUAUUUUAAAUAUUCUAGAUCAAGUUUAUCGGAACCGAUCGACGAUUCGAAAGUCGCAACAACGAAAAUGACCUGGAAGCACGGAAGGCUCCGUGCUUCCAAAAGCAUAGUAGACUCACUAUAUAUAUAUAGAGAGAGAGAGAGAGAGAGAGAGAGAGAGAGAGAGAGAGAGAGAGAGAGAGAGAGUCCGGCUACUAUACUAUCGAUAGUACCAAGCCCUUGGUACUAUUAAGUUUUCUACCAUUAGAUCUACUCUUUGAUCAUUUCCACCCAUUAGAUUAUACUAUUAAACCAACCACCCACUCAACCUUAGGGGACCACUAUCAAUUUAACCGGAGACCACUAUCAUCCUAACCGCACAUCUUUCAAUCCAACGGCUGAAAACUCAAUAGUACCAAGGGCUUGGUACUAUUGAUAGUAUAGUAGCAUAAUUCUAUAUAUAUAUAGAACUAGGCUAAUAUACCAUUAAUAGCACAAAGUCAUUGGUCCUACCAAGUUUUUGGCCAUUGGAUUAAGAGAUGUGCAGUUAGGANUCUCUCUCUCUCUCUCUCUCUCUCUCUCUCUCUCUCUCUCUCUCUCUCUAUAUAUAUAUAUAUAGAUAUAUAUAUAUAUAUAUGAGUGAUGCUACAAAAAAUCUGGAACCUUCACCAGAAAGAAUUUAGAAAAUCUUCCGAGCUUUUUCAGCAAUCGUAAAUUAGGAACCGAAAAAAUUGGCAUCCACGUAGAAUAUGAAGUACCAAGACAAAAAAUUAUGCAAUUUUUCAAUAUUAUUUGCCUAGUGAACGAAAGGGCUCAAAAUCAACGGCUGAAAAUAAAAAUCUUACAAAAACGUAAUAAUAUGACAUUAAAAUUUUAGAUCAAAGAUAUUGAUAUUGUUUUAUAUAGUAUAAAAAAUUUUCUAUCAAAAUUUCACGUGAUUUGGAUAUUUCUACACCGUUAAAUUUGCAAACGUCACACUACAGCCAUUAAAAUUAUUGAUUUUGAGUCCCUACGAUUACUAGGCAAAUGAUAUCAAAAAAUCAUAAAAUUUAUUUUCUAGUUAUUUUAAAUAUUCUAGAUCAAGUUUAUCGGAACCGAUCGACGAUUCGAAAGUCGCAACAACGAAAAUGACCUGAAAGCACGGAAGGCUCCGUGCUUCCAAAAGCAUAGUAGACUCACUAUAUAUAUAUAUAUAGAGAGAGAGAGAGAGAGAGAGAGAGAGAGAGAGAGAGAGAGAGAGAGAGAGUCCGGCUACUAUACUAUCGAUAGUACCAAGCCCUUGGUACUAUUAAGUUUUCUACCAUUAGAUCUACUCUUUGAUCAUUUCCACCCAUUAGAUUAUACUAUUAAACCAACCACCCACUCAACCUUAGGGGACCACUAUCAAUUUAACCGGAGACCACUAUCAUCCUAACCGCACAUCUUUCAAUCCAACGGCUGAAAACUCAAUAGUACCAAGGGCUUGGUACUAUUGAUAGUAUAGUAGCAUAAUUCUAUAUAUAUAUAGAACUAGGCUAAUAUACCAUUAAUAGCACAAAGUCAUUGGUCCUACCAAGUUUUUGGCCAUUGGAUUAAGAGAUGUGCAGUUAGGAUGAUGUGGGUCCCCUAGAGUUGAGUGGGUGGUUGGUUGAAUAGUAUGAUCUAACGGGUGAAAAUGAUUAAAAUGGUAGAUCUCACGGCGAAAAAUUUGGUAGCACCAAGUACUUCGUGAUAUUUAGUAACAAAUGCUGCUAGUUUAUUAUAUUUAGCGGCAUUCACUAAUUUAUGCUGCUAAUUAAUAGUAAAUUGCUGCUAAAUAAUUAAAUCUUGCGGUAAUUAUCAAGUAAUGCUACUAAAUAUAUUAAUUGGUAUGAUUUAAAUAAAUGUUGCGAAGCAAAUAUUGUGGCAUUUAGCAAUAAGUGCUGCUACUUUAUCACAUUUAGUGUCAUUUUUUAUAAAAUGCUGGAACAUCGACGACAUUCACUAAUUUAUGCUGUUAAUUUAUUCUAUUUUGCAACAUUAAUAGUAAAUUGCUGCUAAAUUAUUAAAUUUAGCGGUACUUAUCAAGUAAUAAUGCUGUUAAAUAUAUUAAUUAGCGUUAUUUAAAUAAAUGCUGCAGAGUAAAUGCCUCUAAAUCAUAAAUUUGUAGUAGUGGUCGUUUUCGAUGAUAGAGCUUCCGAAUCGACAAUUCACACCGUUAAACAUUUUCUAGAUCAUUUAAAACUUCUAGAAAUCAGAUUUCAUAAUUUUUCGACAUUAUUUACCUUACGAUCAAAAACUCACAAAAUUGACAAUUUUUAACGGCCGGUAUGGAAUACUUACUAGUUUAACGGUGCAAAAGAAUCCAAAUAGGUUGAAUUUUUUAUAGAAAAUUCUAUUCACUACCUAGAUAAAGAUCAAUAACUCCGAUCUUCUAUUGAAGGAUCCGAUCUUCCAUUUUUAAAACGUCGUCUGAUUUUGAUCGUUUAUUUUGUGCCCGUUUGAUGGACAUUUUUAUUUUUUGAUGAAUCAAAUUUCAAUAUGUGUUUUAAACUAAAAGUGUCAAAAUUUAAUUUACAUUUACUUUAAAAUUUAAAAUUUAAUUUUGACCGACUGUAAUAAAAAAUUAAUUAUUAAUUCAAAUUUGAUAUCAAAAAUUAAAUUUAAUUUAUAAUUUAAACUCAAAAUUUAAUUUUAAUAUAAAAUAGAUUAAUAGGAAUGCUAUUUUGUAACAAAUUGAUCAUAACAAUUUGUUUUUAUUUGAAAUAUUUUUUAACAAUUUGAUUAUAAUCAUCCGUAAGAAUGAAUUUAUAGAUGAAUAGAAAUACUAUUUUUUAAUAUAUUGAUCAUAGCUAUUUUUAUUUGAGAUAUUUUUUUAACAAAUUUAUUAUAACCAUUCGUAGGGAAUAGAUUUUUAUAUAUAUAGUAGAGAUUUAAUAGAUUGAUCAUAACCGUUUGUUUUUAUUUGAGAUAUUUUUAACAAAUUAAUCAUAACCAUUCGUAGGGAAUAUUAUUUUAUUUUUUUUUGGAUUCCGUCUGUCAUUGUCGGAAUUCCUAUACGCUUAUAUAUAUACAA
rnacentral:lncRNA from 1 species